GAGCACGAAAUUUGAAAUGGAAGGAAAAUAGAAUGAGAAGAAAAGACGGCAUGGAUUUGUGUCAGAACAUAUAUUGAUUGUUACAAAAAUUAAAAUAUAUUAAUAUAAAACUCAGCGUGGAAAUCCAUUGUCGCUGUAUAUAGUUCCGGAGAUACUUAUUUUGGUUACUGGGGUUUAAUAUGUCGUGGCAAAUGUUCCUUUCCUUUGCCAUGUUGCUGAAGAAAGAGGUGCGUGCCCUUGAGCGUGGCAAGCUGAUGUAAGAGACGGGUCUUCUCAAGAUCGGGACGCCUUCAUGGUCAUUGUCACGAGUUCCGACCCAAAUGCUAUUUCUUGACCGCUGCAGACUUUUCUAUCGUCUAUCUCGUUCGUCUGGCGGAAUGCAGAGGAGUUAACUUGGAGGAAUUAACGUCGUCUGUGGCAGCAGGUAUGUGUUGGCCCUUAGGUAGCCCUUAGUAAGCUCUUAGUUUACUUGAAGUUCAUGUUUUGUUUUGUCAUAGAUCGGUAACCUUUUGCUUUUGUCACAUUUAUAAUGAAUAACUUUAAUAUCAUAACCAAGGUUUACUGUGAUCUAAUGGACAGUGUUACUUGCCAAUUUAAUGCUCAGGCGUAACUUUACGUGUUAUAAUUAUCUGAAUAAAAUUUAACUAAACAACUAGUUUGUUGGUGGUUUAUCCUAAGUGUAAGAAUACAGAUAUUAAUGAACCAACAGCUCUACCGUUAGCAGUCUGAGCUAGAAGAUGUAAUUUUAGGGUAUGUAGGAGUAUUGAGAGAAGAAAUAAAACAGCUAUUAAGUGGACUCUUGUGUUUUCUUUCCUUUAUUACAUCCCUAGGUAUUAUGUAGCCAGCCGGGUACAUUUUCAUAG